AAGGAAUUGACGGGGGCCCGCACAAGCGGUGGAGCAUGUGGUUUAAUUCGACGCAACGCGAAGAACCUUACCAGCCCUUGACAUCUCGGUCGCGGAUUCCAGAGACGGAAUCCUUCAGUUCGGCUGGACCGAAGACAGGUGCUGCAUGGCUGUCGUCAGCUCGUGUCGUGAGAUGUUGGGUUAAGUCCCGCAACGAGCGCAACCCCCGUCCUUAGUUGCUACCAUUUAGUUGAGCACUCUAAGGAGACUGCCGGUGAUAAGCCGCGAGGAAGGUGGGGAUGACGUCAAGUCCUCAUGGCCCUUACGGGCUGGGCUACACACGUGCUACAAUGGCGGUGACAAUGGGACGCUAAGGGGCAACCCUUCGCAAAUCUCAAAAAGCCGUCUCAGUUCGGAUUGGGCUCUGCAACUCGAGCCCAUGAAGUUGGAAUCGCUAGUAAUCGUGGAUCAGCAUGCCACGGUGAAUACGUUCCCGGGCCUUGUACACACCGCCCGUCACACCAUGGGAGUUGGUUUUACCUGAAGACGGUGCGCUAACCCGUAAGGGAGGCAGCCGGCCACGGUAGGGUCAGCGACUGGGGUGAAGUCGUAACAAGGUA
rnacentral:rRNA from 1 species